GUCCCAGUAGCUCAGCAGGAUAGAGCAUACGCCUUCUAAGCGUACGGUCGGGGGUUCGAAUCCCUCCUGGGACGCCA
rnacentral:tRNA from 1 species